AGUGUGUCUAACUUUAUUCAGCGGACGUCGCGUUUCUCAUCGACUCACAGUCCUAUCUGUGAGUGCAUGAGAGCUGACUCCAUAGCGGUCCGAACUUGUGCGACAUAACAGGCAUCGCAAUGAUCCAGAAAUAAACUGGACCCCACUUCCAGGUCGAUAGAUAAAGGUGUUUCCUCAGGUUCAAAGUUACACUUUAGGAUAAAAUCAAAGAUCAUUAUGGGCGUGGAAAUAAAAAAAGUGACCAUCGACCUCGGCGACAAAUGUCCGGAACACAAGAAGCUAAUCAUGUUCGUCUUGGCCUUGGGACAAAUCAUCCUUGGAGUUUUGGACGUUGCUUUCUUUAUCGGCCUCCUCGUAAUAAGAAUGUGGCCCUACGCUUCUGGCUGCGGCAUCUGGGGCGGAAUACUCUUCAUCGCGACAGGCGUCAUAGGGAUCCUCGCGUACCAGCUGCAGAAGUUGCUCUGGGUUGUCCUCUCAAUCGGAUUGAGUGUCAUCACCGCCGUAUUCGCGUUUAGCUUCUUCAUCGUCCAUGCUGUAGGAACAUCGACGUUUGAUGUAAAGUGUAGUGGUUUCAAAGCUUUCUGCAGCAAUAUUGAAUCUGCGAAAGCACUGAAUGCGAUUUUGAUGCUUGUCUGUCUAGCGCUUCUUGUCGUCUGCGUCGUCCUUGUCGUGUUUUCGGUUCUCUCUGUGAUCAGUCACACGGAGAAUGCUGACAGGUCGCAGUACAAGGCCCGAGAAGAAACGAAUCACCAGGUACCCAAGAAUGAAAUGCAGGAACUUGGACGUGAUAAUGAAGCGGUAACAGUUAAAGCGGAUAGUAGAAAUGACAAUAACAUGGAGAAUGUCGACGUUGUUCAAGUUGAAGAAAGAUUAUAGGUACUGGAGUUUUAUGCUUAAAGUGGUCUUGCUUGGCAUUCUGGCUGUGACAUUCAAUUGUCCUCGGACCAAAUUGGGAUGAAUGAUAUUUAAUUAAAACACCACGAAAUCUCUCCCCGCAAAACUCAGCUAUGAUGUUACAUAUACGAUGCAAUAUUAGUUUCGGGAGAGAUUAGGUGAACCACUGCAGACGCAAGGAAAGCAUGUUAAAUGGAGGAAAAUAACGUUGAACAACGUUGUGUCGAGUUUAGUGUUCAUCUGCAGGAAGCGAUCGACCACCCAAAUAUCGCGAGAUCUCGCAGUGGGGUGCGUAAGUGGUUUGUUUACUAGGCUGGGAGUCUGAUUGAAAGCUUCGUGGUACUUCGAUUUUUCUCAAUUAUUGAACGUCAUAAUCCAUCACAAUUUUCGUCACUUUUACAUUUACUAUAAUUUUUUUUUUUUGAAUUAGAAAUCCUUGAAUGUAGGUCACUAUGUCAAGACUCUUCUCAUUCUCUUUGAAAAGCAUAGCCAUUGGCAUGAGUGGUUCAGUAACUUUGAAAAACAAUAGUCGACGGACUGUGUCCCCUCAUAAAAUAGAAUUAUCAGUAAAAAAAUUAUUUGUAGCGCUAUAAUUUGAUUGUGAGUAAAUCUGGAUUAAGAGGGAUUUGAAAAUACCAUUAGGAUAGUUGUUAACCUCCUCCCAAAAAGAGUUACUUUGCCUUAUUAUAUCAAAAGUUUAAUGUUUAGCUUAAUGCAGCUUCUAUCUUAUUCAUGUAAUUUACUUUUUCAAUAAAUAUUCUAUUCAUACAACCGGUUUGGUUGAAAAAUAUUGAACCUUAUGUGACGUUUCCACAAUCUGUCACUCUAGAUAAAAAUGUCAUCCGGAUGACCUGAGUGUCAUUGACUGAUAAAAUCGCGACAGUCGUUUUAAAGUUCAAUCGGUAAACAAAAGAUCUCAACUGACUCAUUUAUUUUGGCACUAAUAAAUCAAAUUCGGUAAAGGUUUCUAAAUGUCUCGUGGUAUUUGUCUGAAGUGUCGCACUGUUCACUUGUUUGAGUGUCUUUAUCGAAAAGACGUUGGGCUUUGAUACGAAGGACUUCUUUCUGCAUGUCUUCAUGUACACCACAUGCACGCAGCUUCGCCUUUUAUCUAUGAGUGGAGUUCAUUCUACCCCAGGCCACUGACAAGAGGGACAAGACGACUCUGACACUUAUGACGCUGAAAAGCACAAUCUAGCGGUUGGAUAUCACAUAUUCCGUGCAGGCGUUUACCCAGUAGGACAAUAGCCGCCUCUCUGUGAUUACAAGUGAUUCGAGACCGGAACUCGAUUGUAACCGUCUAGUAAGUGUCGGAACACACUCAGCCAAUAGCAUUUCUGUCUUCGUUAAGAGACACAAGUUGAAAGACAAGGGAUGUGACAGGGUACAACUGAAUGUGUCGACGACGUCUGUGGCGGACAACUGUUAAAAAUUGUCUACGCUGACCCUCAACUGCAAUGCUUAUUGCUCUUGUCCAUCUUCGACACAAACUGUGAUGGGGAAUGCUGUUGGGUCUUUCAAGUACACGAUAUCCGCCCUCGGAGCUUGGUCGGAGGAGUCUAGGAGGAAUAUUCGCCGGGCAGCAGACACUCAUGUGAUCCUGACUCGCGCCGUCCAGAGACUGGCUACAUCAAUCGUAUGUGGCAUCACGGCCUUCGUGGCGGUAGCGACAGCUUGGCUCUUUGAACCCAAGUCGGAUGAACGGAUUGCCCUGACCCAUUUAUGUUUUGGUCUGAUUUGUCUUCUCUUGCUUAUUCUAUUGAAUAUGUUAGUGAGGGAUUAAUUUUUCGAACAGCAGAAAUCUAUGUGAUACAUUUUGACCUGUGCUUUCUAUUGACAUUAAACAGUUGUCCUAUUUGAUAAUUAUUGUUGACAAUCUUAUUAUUGAUUUCAUGACUUGGAUUCGUGCGUAAAAAGUCGUUGCUCCUAGCUAUGUCGCCGUGGCAAAGCUUUGUCGCCGCGCCUAUAGCGGUACACCACUCAAAUGGAGUCGAUAUAGGUGGAGCUGGUUGCAGCUGGUUCCACAUGGAAAGAGUUGUAAACAUCUCUUUAUUGACAUGGCACGAAGAUCUAAUAUUUCAUAUUAUCAUUCUAAUGAACUACCAUAACAAUCCCUGCGACAGUUCUCCCAUUUUCCCCACCUGUUGCAGUGAACGGCUUAAUAUUUGCACGUACACCGCCCAGAGUUGUACAGUUGACCUACAGUGAUCAAUAUUUAUGCAGAACCGUACGGAUGAUCACUUUAUGAGGGAUACCAGAUGAUGUAUGCAACACAUGCUUCUACCGCGGAGUUUCUAAUUCGAAAGCUACAUUUUCUAUUUUAGAUAGGGUGUAAGCGACACCUCGCAAUCAUAAACUGAUGGGUCGGUCGUACAACAUGAACCCGCCCAUGCGCAGUGAGACAGAGGACAGGCAGACGACAUCAACAACCGAUCACAACUCGGCUCCAGCGGAGUUGGACGUUGACGCCCAUGUCUACGAGCACAACAAGUUAUGGACACCAAUCGCAGCGACUGUCGAAAUAGUUGCAGGGUGCUUCGUUUUUUUCUUCUACAUCGGAAUGAUGGUGGUCCGGGCGUGGUCAUUUCAAACCGGGUUCGGUUUCUGGGCUGGUUUUGCGUUUGUUCUGUGUGGAUGUGUUUCAAUCGCUGCUCACAAAAUUAAGAAACUUUUGUACAUUUUGUUUACCCUCUUCGGACACAUGGUAACAUUUCUAUUCGCCUUUUCGUUAUUUGUUGUGUCUUGCGUGGGUGUGAACAAACACGAGGUGGAGCUUCACCUGCUGCGGCAGAAAACCUACGAAAUGGUGAUGUGUGAAUCCUACUGGGAUAAAACCAAGCCGUCGGUACUGAGCUUUUGCCUGAGUCACCAGGAGGACCGGAGUUUUCGGAUAGCGUACGUCAGAGACGGACUCGUCCUUCAUGCCCUGUUGCUUGUAUUGACAUUGUUCCUCCUGCCGUCCAUCGUCGUGCAGUUAGGCCUCUGCAUCAGGGCUGUAGACAAAGCGAGGAGAAACGUGCCUAUUGCUCCAAACGGACAGGCAGGAGCUGGACAGAGUCGGGACAACAGGCGAUACCCAGCAAACAUUGUGUCAAUGGUGUGAGAAAGGAUUCUCAAAGCACAGCCAGACCAUGACUUAAAAACGAAGAGACCAUAUUCCAUGACGGAUACGCAUUCAGGGGAUAAGUACUCAACUGAGACACUAAAAAGUAUUAUCCAUUUUCCCUGGGAACUUUAGGAGACAAAAUUAUAAAUAUUUUUAUACGUCGGCUUAAUUACUUCAAGGAAUACCAUAAAAGUAAUUGAAUGCAUUUUGAUACAACCUAUUCACUAAUUAUAAUUAAAAACGAUUAUAUUGAGAGUAUCUUCAGAAUGCAGAUAGAUUGUGCAGGUGGAAUCUUGGCAAUCUUGUUGGUCGUCCGUGUGAUACUCUAUCCUCGGACUCUAUUUUGGAGACACAUUGCGUCGCUCGCAAUUCUCCUCCGAUUCCGUAAGGGAAGAAUACAGAAUAGCGAAGAUAGAGCAAAGAACUGAUCCCUGACAAGAAAUUUUACUCAAAGGUGAAAAUUACUUAUUCCAAUGUCCUUGUACCUUGCACAGUGUGCGUGGUCUCCAAAAUCUUUGCAAGGACAAAAGCUAUUUAGACGCCCGAUCGAGUUUCAUGAUAUAACGAUGCUCCGAUACGCGCCCGCAGCCGAUUAUGCGAUGGGAGACGCAAAAAGGUUGACACUAUUUUCAUCAGAGACGUAUACGUUGUUCGGUGAGAAAUAUAAGCAAUCUAGCCAUAUCAUGUGCCUAAUUAACUGCUCAAUACAAUAUAUUUCGGGAUUAUUGUACAAGUACAUGUAUUUCAAUAUUUACUACCGGUUUUAUUGUGUUGAACGAGGAACAGAUUGAGGAAGAUUGUAAAUAUUUCCUGGCCUCCAGUCAUUUUACUACUUAAAUAUCAUAUUAAAACUAUUCAAUAAAUAUAAAUCCAAGACACGUUGUGUCUUAGUUAGUCUGUUAUUUUACUAAUGAUUGAUCGAUUGAGCUAAGACCAACGCGAGCGACAUGUGUGGAGGUCAGCUCGAAGCAGUCGAGACGGUUCCUAUCCAAUUUUACUGCGUUUCUCUGGACACGAUCAGCCAUGUAGCGGCGGUAAGAGACCGGUGGAUGUCUUCCCUUCCUGUUUCACAUAUGAAUAAAGCCAGGAGUAAAGUUCCUGAU